GCAGAACAUAAAUCGACAGAAAAACUAAAAGCAAAACUAAAAAACUUAGGCCUGAAAUCCUUUCCUCUCCUUUUGCAUGAAGAACACUUAUCGGUACCAGUCGAUUGAGAGACUAAUCUUCCCACAAAAAUCACCCUUUAAAAUCUCAGUCUCCGUUAAAAUUACGAGUUCUUCGGACCAACAUACUAUCACAACGUCCGGACUCGACUUUGCCAUUUCAACUCCGUUAGAUUAUACUUCCUCUAUCAUGGUCAAUCAGUCUGACCACCGCGAGCGGAGCUUCCUCAAUCUAGUAUUGGGGGUUUUCGUGUUGUCUUCCUUCUAGCGCCAUUUCGUGAGCCGCUUCGUUGGCCCCUCGAGGUACGUACUCAAACCGUAAACUUCUAAACCUAUGACCUCUCCCUUUGAUUUCUUUAAUCAGGCUGCAAAUGCUCGACUUAUCAUCCUCAUUCGAGUUUAGCUUUCGGAUUAUGGUCAAUGCAUCACCUUUCACAAUAAUGUCCUGAAAUCCCAUUUCCUCCGCCAUGGUAACUGCUUGCAGACACGCCCUUGCUUCCGCCAUCGUUGAAUCUGGAAUGUUCUCCCAAGGAAAGCCACUGUUUCCAAUUGGGGAUGCUACUGCAGGUUGCGUCUGUCACUCCUAACCGUCUCAAGAUCUGCUGUGUGAAAGAACAAUCCCGAAAUAGAUGGCUCACCGUUUCCUCUUCAGCUUGACACACCGGGCAUAGUGCAUUAGUUCCCAACCUUCGAAGUCCUAGGUUAUAUAACGUGGGCAAAAAAUCAUUGGCUAUUCGCCACAUAAGGAUACGAAUUUUGCUUGGUAUAUUAAGACCCCAUAGCUUUGUAUAGAAAGUGGUAGGAAUAGUCUGUAUGUAGUCUAGAACUUCUGCUUGUAUCGAUCCAUUUGUAGCCACUUUUAACUGUAUACUGCCCUGUAUUAUCUCCUCGCCAAAUCCGCUGGUCAUGAGGUCGACUACUCACUAAGGGGAUUGAAAGAAUGCUCAUUAACUGCUCCUCUCCAAAUAAGGAUCUGAUAACGUCUUGCUUCCAGGCCUCAGUACCCAGUUAUCAUUCCGAACGUUAAUUCCCCAUUCCCAACUCUCCACCCCAGACCCUCCUCAAGGACUUGUCUAGCACUCCAUAUACUUUGCCAGGUAAACGACGGGUAAGACCCUAACCUAGCACUCAUAAAAUCCCCUCUUGGAAAAUAUUUUACUUUCAUGACUCGAGCAAAUAGACAUUGAGGUUGCAUAAAGAUUUUCCAACCCUGCUUCGCUAACAUGGCUAGAUUAAAAUUUUCUAAAUCCUUAAAAUCGAGACCUCCCUUCGCUUUAGGGAUACACAAAUCACUCCACUUGCACCAAUAUAUGCCUUUAUUGGUUUUGGGAUUCCUCCACUAGAAUUUACUCAUAAGACUCUCAAGUUCUCGACAGAGCGAAGUUGGCAGUGUAAAAUACUGCAUUGCAUAAAUCGGAAUGGCUUG